rnacentral:rRNA from 1 species
AGGGGGAUAACACUUGGAAACAGGUGCUAAUACCGCAUAACCAUAGUUACCGCAUGGUAACUAUGUAAAAGGUGGCUAUGCUACCGCUUUUGGAUGGGCCCGCGGCGCAUUAGCUAGUUGGUGGGGUAAAGGCUUACCAAGGCAAUGAUGCGUAGCCGAACUGAGAGGUUGAUCGGCCACAUUGGGACUGAGACACGGCCCAAACUCCUACGGGAGGCAGCAGUAGGGAAUCUUCCACAAUGGGCGAAAGCCUGAUGGAGCGACGCCGCGUGGGUGAAGAAGGUCUUCGGAUCGUAAAACCCUGUUGUUAGAGAAGAAAGUGCGUGAGAGUAACUGUUCACGUUUCGACGGUAUCUAACCAGAAAGCCACGGCUAACUACGUGCCAGCAGCCGCGGUAAUACGUAGGUGGCAAGCGUUAUCCGGACUUAUUGGGCGNNAAGGGAACGCAGGCGGUCUUUUAAGUCUGAUGUGAAAGCCUUCGGCUUAACCGAAGUAGUGCAUUGGAAACUGGGAGACUUGAGUGCAGAAGAGGAGAGUGGAACUCCAUGUGUAGCGGUGAAAUGCGUAGAUAUAUGGAAGAACACCAGUGGCGAAAGCGGCUCUCUGGUCUGUAACUGACGCUGAGGUUCGAAAGC